UUGAUCAAUGAUGACCAUAAAAAAAAGCUUUUAAAGAAACAAGGAAGACCGCGGAAAUAAUCAUUAUCCGUAAAUCAGGAGUGAAAAAUAAUAACCGACCAUCACCAUUUGGCUUCCGACGUCAACACUACGACUGUUCAAGUGCACCGAACAACCAGAGUCAUCGAAGAAAUAAUGUAUGCUCGGCUGUACGCCUAGAUAAAAGUCUGGCAUGAUAUAUAUUACGUUACAUCCGCAACGGCUGCUUCUGUCAUUAUAAUAGAUCCUGCAGACUCAGCAACUCUAUAGACGGACCCUCUCCCACCAUUUUCAAGAGAGACUGAUACACGGACUCAGACUCGGAGUUGAACCGCAUCUUAAUCACGACCUCGUCCUAAUUUU